GGGUGAUGUGAUAUGGUAGGUGAGGGGUAGUACAGGAAGGGUGAUGUGAUAUGGUAGGUGAGGGGUAGUACAGGAAGGGUGAUGUGAUAUGGUAGGUGAGGGGUAGUACAGGAAGGGUGAUGUGAUAUGCUAGGUGAGGGGUAGUACAGGAAGGGUGAUGUGAUAUGGUAGGUGAGGGGUAGUACAGGAAGGGUGAUGUGAUAUGGUAGGUGGUAAGUGAUAUCUGGUGAAAGGUGAUCAGAUAUUAAAGGUGAGGAGUGGUUCAGGGAGAGUGAUGUAUGAAGUGAUGUGUCUCAGGGAGGUUAUGAAUAACAGAACCCAGUCUUGUGCCAGAUUACCUUCCAGUGGUAACA